AACGCUAGCUACAGGCUUAACACAUGCAAGUCGAGGGGCAGCAUGGUCUUAGCUUGCUAAGGCCGAUGGCGACCGGCGCACGGGUGAGUAACACGUAUCCAACCUGCCGUCUACUCUUGGACAGCCUUCUGAAAGGAAGAUUAAUACAAGAUGGCAUCAUGAGUCCGCAUGUUCACAUGAUUAAAGGUAUUCCGGUAGACGAUGGGGAUGCGUUCCAUUAGAUAGUAGGCGGGGUAACGGCCCACCUAGUCUUCGAUGGAUAGGGGUUCUGAGAGGAAGGUCCCCCACAUUGGAACUGAGACACGGUCCAAACUCCUACGGGAGGCAGCAGUGAGGAAUAUUGGUCAAUGGGCGAGAGCCUGAACCAGCCAAGUAGCGUGAAGGAUGACUGCCCUAUGGGUUGUAAACUUCUUUUAUAAGGGAAUAAAGUGGGUCACGUGUGACUUUUUGCAUGUACCUUAUGAAUAAGGACCGGCUAAUUCCGUGCCAGCAGCCGCGGUAAUACGGAAGGUCCGGGCGUUAUCCGGAUUUAUUGGGUUUAAAGGGAGCGUAGGCCGGAGAUUAAGCGUGUUGUGAAAUGUAGAGGCUCAACCUCUGCACUGCAGCGCGAACUGGUCUUCUUGAGUACGCACAACGUGGGCGGAAUUCGUGGUGUAGCGGUGAAAUGCUUAGAUAUCACGAAGAACUCCGAUUG
rnacentral:rRNA from 1 species